rnacentral:rRNA from 1 species
CCAGACUCCUACGGGAGGCAGCAGUGAGGAAUAUUGGUCAAUGGCCGGAAGGCUGAACCAGCCAAGCCGCGUGAAGGACGAAGGUGCCAAGCAUUGUAAACUUCUUUUGUCAAGGGACAAAAUCAGGCUCGAGAGCCUGACCGAGGGUACUUGAAGAAAAAGCAUCGGCUAACUCCGUGCCAGCAGCCGCGGUAAUACGGAGGAUGCGAGCGUUAUCCGGAUUUAUUGGGUUUAAAGGGUGCGUAGGCGGGCUGUUAAGUCAGCGGUAAAAUGUCGGGGCUCAACCCCGGCCUGCCGUUGAAACUGGCGGCCUCGAGUGGGCGAGAAGUAUGCGGAAUGCGUGGUGUAGCGGUGAAAUGCAUAGAUAUCACGCAGAACUCCGAUUGCGAAGGCAGUUCACUGGACUGCAACUGACACUGAGGCUCGAAAGUGUGGGUAUCAAACAGGAUUAGAUACCCUAGUAA